rnacentral:tRNA from 1 species
GCGACCGUGGUGGAACGGCAGACACGCAUGCUUGAGGUGCAUGUGAGCGAAAGCUCGUGGGAGUUCAAGUCUCCCCGGUCGCACCA